AUUGAACGCUGGCGGCAUGCUUUACACAUGCAAGUCGAACGGUAACAGGUUAAGCUGACGAGUGGCGAACGGGUGAGUAAUGCAUCGGAACGUGCCCGAUCGUGGGGGAUAACGCAGCGAAAGCUGCGCUAAUACCGCAUACGAUCUGAGGAUGAAAGCGGGGGACCGUAAGGCCUCGCGCGAUCGGAGCGGCCGAUGUCAGAUUAGGUAGUUGGUGGGGUAAAGGCUCACCAAGCCAACGAUCUGUAGCUGGUCUGAGAGGACGACCAGCCACACUGGGACUGAGACACGGCCCAGACUCCUACGGGAGGCAGCAGUGGGGAAUUUUGGACAAUGGGCGAAAGCCUGAUCCAGCAAUGCCGCGUGCAGGAAGAAGGCCUUCGGGUUGUAAACUGCUUUUGUACGGAGCGAAAAGGUUCUCUCUAAUACAGAGGGCUCAUGACGGUACCGUAAGAAUAAGCACCGGCUAACUACGUGCCAGCCGCCGCCGUAA
rnacentral:rRNA from 1 species